rnacentral:rRNA from 1 species
UCUUUAAGAGUUUAUUUUAAGUCUAAUCUGCUCACUGAAGAGUUAAAGAGCCGCAGUAUUUUGACUGUGCGAAGGUAGCAUAAUAAAUAGUUUUUUAAUUGAAAGCUGGAAUGAAAGAUUGAACGAAAAAUUACCUUUUUUAGUUUAUUAAAUUGAAUUUAGAGUUUAGGUUAAAAUACUUAAGUGUAAUUAAAAGACAAGAAGACCCUAUGGAUUUUAAUUAGUGUAAGAUGGUUUAUUUUUAGUUUGUUUAGGCGUUAAUUUGAUUGGGGUGAUACUAUAAUACAAUAAACUUAAAUUUUCAAAACCAUAAAUAAUUGAAUAAUUAAUCCAAAAGUUUUGAAAAAAGUUAAAUUACCCUAGGGAUAACAGCGUAAUUUUAUUUAAGAGAACAUAUCUAUGAUAAAGAUUACGACCUCGAUGUUGAAUUAAGAAAUGUAUUGGGGAAGAAAUUAAUACAUAUAGUCUGUUCGACUAUAUUAUUC